CUCUAUCACCGUGAACACCUGAACACACCCAAUCUUGUCUGAUCUCAGAAGCUAAGCAGGGUCGGGCCUGGUUAGUACUUGGAUGGGAGAAAAACGUUGCAUGCAUCUUUAUUCACUACUUGUAAGAACUGGAAGAGU
rnacentral:rRNA from 1 species